rnacentral:lncRNA from 1 species
AAAAAGAUGGACAGUUGAAACAUGUAAUACUUGGCUGGAUCUCCUGGGCAUUAUGUUGAGUGAAAAAAAGCCAGUCUGAAAAGGUUACAUUUUAUAUGGUUCCAUUUGUGUGACAUUCUGGAAAAGGUUGGAGUGACAGAUUACAGAUCAGUGGUUGCCAGAUAGGAGAGGUCUGGGGAUGGAGCGAGGUUUUACUAUUAAAAAGGUUUUACUGUAAGCAAAUUUGGCUGGGGUGGGGGGUGGUGAUGAAACUGUUCUAUAUCUUCAUUGCUAUAUAACAUAGUUAUAGUAGUUAUAUAACUGUAUACAUUUGUCAAAACUCCUAGAACUGUUGAAUAAGAAAAGGGGAUUUUACUGCAUCUAAAAAGUAAAGAAAACAUGUAUGUGUAUUUUGUCAUGAUUUAAUCAUAUUUCUCCAACUUUCUUAUUCAUUCAAUAUUUUUUUAAAUCCCUAGAUCCAAGUCUUGAAAUUUUUUAUAUAGACAGAAGAAAGCAUUUCAAGUGCAGGGACUAUUAGGAAUAAGGGUUUAAGAUUGCUAAGAUUCUAGGGUCAUCUAUGCACUCAAUUCUAAAGUGAAAAAUGUCAUUAAAUGAAGCAGGUUCCACUUGGUCCUCCGGGGAAGAUCACUUUGAUAUGAAGGUUGUCAGAGGUUAUCUAUCACUAGCCAUCAACUCUGAUCUUUGAGUCUGUCAUUCCCAAAAGUGAAUUCUUCCAGGGACCUAUGUCAACACUAAAUAAAGAAUGUGGGGGAGACUACAUUCCACAUUUUCUUGAAUUUGUUUUUGUCUGGUUUGAUAAGGAUCAAAUUUUUAAAUACAGGCUGCCCUGGAAAAAGAGCCAGAUAAGUUCCAGUCCUGUUCUAUCAUUAAAUAGUUGGUGACACUCAGAGUUGUUUUCCUCUUUUGUCUUGGAUUAUUUUAAGUCUUUUUCUGGCUAUAAAACAUUAUCUGAUAUUGAUGAAACCUCUGAAGUGUUCAACUAUCCCUUUGCGUUGUUGUUGUUGUUCUUAUUACUUGUACAUGACAGUAGAGUGUAUUCUGACAUAGUAUGCAUAUAUGGAGUAUAACUUCCAAUUCUUCUGGUUGUACGUGAUGUGGAGUUACACUGAUCAUGUAUUCCUCUAGGAAAGUAAUGUCCAAUUCAUUCUACUAUCUUUC